UAUUAUCAAUGUCGUUCUAUUACCUUGCAUGUGGGGAACUCCAGUCUGAACUAUGAGUAUUUGUCCUAUGAGUCCGAUCCAGUUUUCAUUGGAUUCACUACCUUUCAGGUGGGCAAUGAUCUACAGGUGAACAUUAAGAAAAGGGCAGAUAUGUUGCAUUUGAGUGUGAAUGAGGUGACUGUGACGGGUCUACAGGGAGAUCAGCAGUAUCAGUGUGUUUUGGAGGAAAUUCAGUCCAAAGCUGUCAUAUGUAAGAUUAAAGGAGAAUCAGGAGCCGUCACAGCAGUGGAGUCACUCCGAGUCAACGUUGGAAAUUUUUAUACUUACCUAAGACAAGAAAGACCAAAGUAUUUGGGAUUUUUUUCUAUAGCAUUUUCUUUAGUAUUCGUAUUCUUUUGUCUUAUCUUUUUGAUUUUGUUAUCAAUUUUUCGGGCUUAACAUAACUUCCAAUCUUUUUUUCCUGUUCAGUGGCCACUCCAAAUAAGAUAUAUACAAACAUGCAGCCUUUUUUAAGUGAAAUUGUGUUGUAAAGUUAAUUUUAAGUCAGAGUAAAAUCUCUCAUCCUUUGGCUGGUCAGAAAUCUCCCGUCAGAUCCAAACUGUAGAGCUGUUCUCCAGACAGCAGGUGGCGCUUUAUACUCACAUAUUAUGAUACGCUGCAAAAACAUUGCCAUUCAAACACUGUAGUAUAAUUAUUUUGCAUUAGUAGGCUUUAAUUGUAUCUUUCUCAUUGUUCUCUUGUUAAUCUGAAAGUUUGAUGUUAUCGCUAUACUGUAAAACAAAGUGUAAUUAAAUAAAGAUUUUUUCCAU